GAAGUACUCCCUCCGUCCACGAAUUCUUGUCUUAGAUUUUUCUAGAUAUGAAUGUAUCUAGUCAUGUUUUAGUAUUUUGAUACAUUCAUUUUUAGAUAAAUCUAAGUCAAGAAUUUUGGGACGGAGGAAUAUAAC
rfam:Hordeum vulgare subsp. vulgare, WGS project CAJW01000000 data, contig: morex_contig_47654